rnacentral:rRNA from 1 species
UACAGAGGGUGCGAGCGUUGUCCGGAAUCACUGGGCGUAAAGGGCGUGUAGGCGGCUGGGUAAGCCGCGUGUGAAAUCCCGGGGCUCAACCCCGGAACGGCACGCGGGACUGUCCGGCUCGAGCAUGGUAGAGGCGAGUGGAAUUCCUGGUGUAGCGGUGGAAUGCGUAGAGAUCAGGAAGAACACCGGUGGCGAAGGCGGCUGACUGGAUCGCAACUGACACUGAGGAACGAAAGCUAGGGGAGCAAACAGG